rnacentral:tmRNA from 1 species
GGGGGUGUUUGGUUUCGACUGUGAAGCGUAGAUUGAUGUUGCGUAUCGGAGAUGAUGGUUGGCUCCGUAAAAAUCCAUCGAAAGAUAUAAAUGGCAAAGAUAAUGUCAUAGCGGCUAACUUCGGUGACGAAGCUGUCGCACUUGCUGCUUAAUUGCGGCACGUCGACCGGUUCGAUUCUCGCUAAAGCCGGCUCGGUGUGUGAACAGCGAGAAACAUUAUGGCCGGGCACCCAGGACCAUAAUGUAAUUAGACUGUGUGCUAGUUGGUGUGAAUUUGUCGAUGGAUUCACACCAAUGAACCAGAUUAUCGACUACAUGCGUAGACACAUCAUUUGAAAUUUUGCAGGACGCGGGUUCAAUUCCCGCCACCUCCACCA